UCCGAAUUGAAAGGGCUUCCAUGCUACUGCCUAAUAGCAGUUGACACUGCCUCCAACAUCCCUGAUUCUACCCAGUUCAGUUCAUGGUGUGAAUUAGUGGAGGCAACUCGACAGGCCUGCCAAGGGGCGGCCACAUCGGAUUCUGCAUCCAGUGAGCCCAUGACUAGUAAAGAGGCAGAAGCUGCCCUGCUAAGAGCAUGCCAACUCCAGAGCUUUCCCGAAGAAGUUGCUGCCCUCAAGGCACAGAAAUCAGUUCCUGCACACAGCCGAUUAGUCAGCCUUGCUCCAGAAUGGGAUCCACUGAAAAACAUGAUAAGAGUUGGAGGCCGAUUAAGGAGGCUAGCAAACUCAGACCCAGAACAAAUCCACCCCAUUGUGCUGGACCCAAGACAUGCAGUAACGAAGCUCCUUAUCAAAGAAUUUGAUGAGCGUCUGUUACACCCAGGAGCAGAAAGAGUCUAUGCUGAAAUACGUAGACAGUACUGGAUUCUCAGAGGGCAUCAGGCCAUAAAGUACCAUCAACUUCACUGUCUGUCCUGUCAGCGAUGGAGAGCUCAGCCAAAGGUUCCGCCAGUGGCAGAUUUGCCACCAGAACGUCUCCGACUGCUCUGUCCACCUUUCCACUCAACUGGUGUUGACUGCUUCGGCCCAUACCUGGUCAAAAUAGGAAGGCGAAAUGAGAAAUGCUGGGGGCUAAUUUUCAAAUGUCUCACAACUAGGGCAGUACACAUUGAGCUCCUCAAUUCAAUGGAUGUAGAUGCCUUCCUUCUUGCGCUCCGCCGGUUCAUAGCCAGAAGAGGUAAACCACACGAGAUCCGUUCGGAUUGUGGCACCAACUUCCGGGGAGCUAACAGAGAAUUACGGGAAGCUUUCUCAAUUAUGGAGCCAGAACUCAAAGCCCAGCUUCCAGACUAUCAAAUUAGCUUCAAGUUUAAUCCACCCAGUGCUCCACACUUUGGCGGAAUAUGGGAGCGUGAAGUCCGUUCCAUAAAGAAUGCUCUCCAGGUGGCUGUCGGAACCCAAGCUGUCACAGAAGAUGUUCUAUCCACAGUCCUAGUGGAAGUGGAAGGGAUCCUCAAUUCGAAACCACUAGGAUAUGCCUCAACGGAUGUCGCUGACAUGGAUCCGAUUACUCCUAAUAUUCUCCUAAUGGGGCGGCGGGAUGCAUCACUGCCUCAGGUGGCAUACGCUCCAGGAGACAUGGGGCAAUGGAGAUGUCAGAGCAUGGUGGACCAGUUCUGGAUACACUUCACUAGAAACUACUUGCCUACGCUCCAGACCCGGCAGAAGUGGCAUAAAGCUUCAAAGAACCUGGAAGUUGACUCUGUCGUACUUAUUGUGGAUCCGCAACUCCCAAGAGCUCAGUGGCCCAUAGGCAGAGUUCGAAAGACAUUGCCCAGUAGUGAUGGAUGUGUGCGGACUGCUGAAGUUGUCGUUGAUGGUAAAGCUUACAUCAGACCAGUUGCCCGCCUGAUAGAGUUGCCUGCUUUAGAAAGUAAUACUAAAGACAUUUAGAGAAUUCCCUUUAUUACCCAUUUGCUGCUCAAAUGUGGGGGCGGCUGUUGUGAAUUCUUCCCUUUAAGUUUAAGACUUGCGAUCUGCGUGAUGUUUCAGUAAUGACUUACGUAAAUAACGUAGUGCAGGGUUCACCGCAUGUACGGUCUUAGCGUAACUGCCUAUUCACUAAGUUACCUCAGCACGGCAGUCAUACUGCGUGCUCUCACACAGGUGCAGCGUUUAUGUGCAAGAGAAAGUGCGUGACAAAGUGAGUUACUUCGAUGUAUAUUGUUAAUUACCUAGAUUAUUACAGUGUACCACAAUUGUGUUAACUUCGACAGUGUUUAUGAUGUUAUUGAAGUUUAGCGAUCUUUCUGAGUGUAAUUUGAUCCUGUUUAACGAGCGGCUUAGCCCGUUAGCAUCGCAGUGUGCAUUGUUCAUGUUUACAAUUGUAUUACAUUUAAGGGUAACAUUUUUAUGGUGAUAAUACCUUUCAACGACCAUUAUUACUACCAUCUGU
ensembl:lncRNA